UUGGGUAUAACAGAACUAAUAGGUCGUAACUCUCGUAAGUUAAAGACAAAGAUAAACAGAGUUACAUCAUUUGUGUUUGUCUCUAAACAAGAACAAAACAGAGAGUGAAACAAAGAGAGAGACGUGAAGAAAGAGGUGAAAACAGAGAAUCACAACACCCUUUGUAGAAACUUAAGUCAUAUGCAAAUCAUGAGGAAUGAUAGGCUUUAUGUUUUCCACAGACUUCGAUCCAGAUGCAGAGGAGGACGGUGUUUCCGAAGCAUGAGAUGGCUAUGAAUAGAAGCACAUUAAGUUUAGAUGUAUG
rnacentral:lncRNA from 1 species